rnacentral:rRNA from 1 species
UACGUAGGGUGCGAGCGUUGUCCGGAAUUAUUGGGCGUAAAGGGCUCGUAGGCGGUUUGUCGCGUCGGGAGUGAAAACACCGGGCUUAACUCGGUGCUUGCUUUCGAUACGGGCAGACUAGAGGUAUGCAGGGGAGAACGGAAUUCCUGGUGUAGCGGUGAAAUGCGCAGAUAUCAGGAAGAACACCCGUGGCGAAGGCGGUUCUCUGGGACGGUACUGACGCUGAGACGCGAAAGCGUGGGGAGCGAACAGG